ACUAAAGAAAAUAAGUGCAAGCGGUGGAUGCCUUGGCAUUCAGAGGCGAUGAAGGACGUGAUAAUCUGCGAUAAGCUUCUGUUAGCUGGUAAAUGAGCUAUGACCCGGAGAUUUCCGAAUGGGGGAACCCACCUGACACAAGUUGGGUACUCACUCUAUAUAGAGUGUAGAGAGAACGAUGUGAACUGAAACAUCUAAUUACCCUUAGGA
rnacentral:rRNA from 1 species